UGGUCACUCUCGGUUCCUCCAUAUGACUGU
rnacentral:piRNA from 1 species